AUUGUUUCUCAGCCUUUUGGCUAGGAUCAAGUGUAGUAUCUGUUCUUAUCAGUUUAAUAUCUGAUACAUUAAAAUUUUUUUUAAAUUAAAAACAAAAUAAAGUCUGUCUUCCUUAAAGUUAGGGAGAAGGCAAAAGUUC
rnacentral:snRNA from 1 species